UGGGGAAUAUUGGACAAUGGGCGAAAGCCUGAUCCAGCCAUGCCGCGUGUGUGAAGAAGGUCUUCGGAUUGUAAAGCACUUUAAGUUGGGAGGAAGGGCAUUAACCUAAUACGUUAGUGUUUUGACGUUACCGACAGAAUAAGCACCGGCUAACUCUGUGCCAGCAGCCGCGGUAAUACAGAGGGUGCAAGCGUUAAUCGGAAUUACUGGGCGUAAAGCGCGCGUAGGUGGUAUGUUAAGUUGGAUGUGAAAUCCCCGGGCUCAACCAGGGAACUGCAUUCAAAACUGACUGACUAGAGUAUGGUAGAGGGUGGUGGAAUUUCCUGUGUAGCGGUGAAAUGCGUAGAUAUAGGAAGGAACACCAGUGGCGAAGGCGACCACCUGGACUAAUACUGACACUGAGGUGCGAAAGCGUGGGGAGCAAACA
rnacentral:rRNA from 1 species